rnacentral:rRNA from 1 species
GAUGAACGCUGGCGGCGUGCCUAAUACAUGCAAGUCGAGCGAACAGACGAGGAGCUUGCUCCUCUGACGUUAGCGGCGGACGGGUGAGUAACACGUGGAUAACCUACCUAUAAGACUGGGAUAACUUCGGGAAACCGGAGCUAAUACCGGAUAAUAUAUUGAACCGCAUGGUUCAAUAGUGAAAGACGGUUUUGCUGUCACUUAUAGAUGGAUCCGCGCCGCAUUAGCUAGUUGGUAAGGUAACGGCUUACCAAGGCAACGAUGCGUAGCCGACCUGAGAGGGUGAUCGGCCACACUGGAACUGAGACACGGUCCAGACUCCUACGGGAGGCAGCAGUAGGGAAUCUUCCGCAAUGGGCGAAAGCUUGACGGAGCAACGCCGCGUGAGUGAUGAAGGUCUUCGGAUCGUAAAACUCUGUUAUUAGGGAAGAACAAAUGUGUAAGUAACUAUGCACGUCUUGAUGGUACCUAAUCAGAAAGCCAUGGCUAACUACGUG